rnacentral:lncRNA from 1 species
CUGUCCAAGUUGUAGCUCAUGGAAUUACUUUUCAUUGACACAGAGCCACCCUGCAGUACUUCUCUUCAUUAUCUUCCCUAACCCCCUCCCUAAGAAGCCCAGUUAUGUUGCUUAUCUGUGCCGGCAAUUUGGUGAUGAAUGAAGCAACUCCCGGUGAAUCUCUGAGCUACCUUGCAAGGGGCUAAAGCGGUUGUCAGAUGCUUUCUGCCCUGCAAUUACCUGGACUUCUUGACAUCCUAAUUAACUGUGAUUUAACAGAGCCAUUAUUUUUAGAGUUAAUGGGUUUUGAGGGCACCAGCUCCUGA